GUGGGGAAUUUUGGACAAUGGGCGCAAGCCUGAUCCAGCCAUUCCGCGUGCAGGAUGAAGGCCUUCGGGUUGUAAACUGCUUUUGUACGGAACGAAAAGCCUCUGGUUAAUACCCGGGGGUCAUGACGGUACCGUAAGAAUAAGCACCGGCUAACUACGUGCCAGCAGCCGCGGUAAUACGUAGGGUGCGAGCGUUAAUCGGAAUUACUGGGCGUAAAGCGUGCGCAGGCGGUGAUGUAAGACAGUUGUGAAAUCCCCGGGCUCAACCUGGGAACGGCAUCUGGGACUGCAUUGCUGGAGUGCGGCAGAGGGGGAUGGAAUUCCGCGUGUAGCAGUGAAAUGCGUAGAUAUGCGGAGGAACACCGAUGGCGAAGGCAAUCCCCUGGGCCUGCACUGACGCUCAUGCACGAAAGCGUGGGGAGCAAACAGGAUUAGAUACCCUGGUAGUCC
rnacentral:rRNA from 1 species